rnacentral:rRNA from 1 species
GACGAACGCUGGCGGCGUGCUUAACACAUGCAAGUCGAACGGAAAGGCCCUGCUUUUGUGGGGUGCUCGAGUGGGGAACGGGUGAGUAACACGUGAGUAACCUGCCCUUGACUUUGGGAUAACUUCAGGAAACUGGGGCUAAUACCGGAUAGGAGCUCCUGCUGCAUGGUGGGGGUUGGAAAGUUUCGGCGGUUGGGGAUGGACUAGCGGCUUAUCAGCUUGUUGGUGGGGUAGUGGCUUACCAAGGCUUUGACGGGUAGCCGGCCUGAGAGGGUGACCGGCCACAUUGGGACUGAGAUACGGCCCAGACUCCUACGGGAGGCAGCAGGGGGGAAUAUUGCACAAUGGGCGGAAGCCUGAUGCAGCAACGCCGCGUGCGGGAUGACGGCCUUCGGGUUGUAAACCGCUUUCGCCUGUGACGAAGCGUGAGUGACGGUAAUGGGUAAAGAAGCACCGGCUAACUACGUG